GUCGUGACAGGGGUUCCAGGAGGCAUCGAAAACCACCACGCGGUUAGCCCCGAUCAGGUUUACCCCCAGGCAGCCAGCCCUGGGGAUGGGGAGAAGCACACGUCACUGACCUGAGUGUGUUCCUGAGGUCUAUUACCUGGUGGAAAGCAGAAAGACCAAAGUGGAGGUGUUGGACGGGUCGUUGAACUGGUUGAUGAGUCUCUCUCUCUCGGAGGCAGACGUGCUCCCAUCCAGUCCUAAAGCAAGGAACCAUAGAUUCCCAUCAUUCCCCGGUCUCCAACACACAGGCACCAAGAACAAUGGAGAGAUACCAAGAUAACCAGCAGGUGGCGAUAGUCAAUAUCCUCUCAAGCUCUGUCAGGUUCUGUCAAGUGUCGCUGCACAGCUACUUUCAGGUCUCUCCAGAGAUUUUCGAUCGGGUUCAAGUCCAGGGUUCAACCUGGAGCAGGUUUUCAUCAAGGAUCUCUGUCAUUUUCUCCAUUCAUCUAUCCCUCAAUCCUGACUGGUCUCCCAGUCCCUGCCGCUGAAAAACAUCCCCACAGCAUGAUGCUGCCACCUCCAUGCUUCACCGUAGGGAUGGUAUUGGCCAGGUGAUGAGCGGUGCCAGGUUUCCCCCAGACGU